AGAUUACAAGCUAUCAAUUAUAAUAGUUGCAUUGCAAUUCAUAUGCAGGAGUAACCCUCUUCACUUCAAGGGUGUUUGUAGCGUAGAGGCAAUCCAUCGCCUUCUUAGUCAUUACUCCCGUAGCUUAUUUCACAAGUUGGUCGAAUUUUUAUUUUUUUUAAACAUAAGACCAUGAAAUUUCAUUUUAUCUUUCUAAAUGGAAUUUCUGCCAAUAAACUCCCUAUUCAGCCAAGGAGGUGAGAAUUGGUUGCUAGGCUGUUUAUUUCUCUUUGUAAGCUCUUGUUGCUCAUCACUUUGGCUAAUUUUGCAGGUACUCAAUUCUCAAGAUUUACAUAUAUUUUACAAUUUCUCAAUGAUUUUCAAUUCUUUUGAAUAAUUUGUUAACAGGUCCCUUUAUCUGCUAGCUACCCGGAUCAUCUAUCUUUAACUGCAUGGAGCACUGAUAUGAAAGUUUGGCGACUGAAUUCGUAUCUCAAAUUCCUUUGCUGCUUUUAGGCAGUGAGUAUCGUAUCUUGUUUUAUUGUGUAAUGAAGAUAAAAUUAUUCAAAAUCUGUGUUUGGGAAUUUGGACUAGGGUGUAUCUUCAGCAAUUACUUUCUUUGCCCAAUCCUGGAGCAUUGCUCAAGGAGGUCCACUAUUUUCUGCCA
rnacentral:lncRNA from 1 species